UAGUCCACGCCGUAAACGAUGGAUACUAGCUGUUCGAUCUUCGGAUUGAGUGGCUAAGCGAAAGUGAUAAGUAUCCCACCUGGGGAGUACGUUCGCAAGAAUGAAACUCAAAGGAAUUGACGGGGGCCCGCACAAGCGGUGGAGCAUGUGGUUUAAUUCGAUGAUACGCGAGGAACCUUACCAGGGCUUAAAUGUAGUCUGACAGCUUUAGAGAUAAAGUUUUCUUCGGACAGAUUACAAGGUGCUGCAUGGUUGUCGUCAGCUCGUGCCGUGAGGUGUCAGGUUAAGUCCUAUAACGAGCGCAACCCCUGUCGUUAGUUGCCAGCAAGUAAAGUUGGGCACUCUAGCGAGACUGCCGGUGCAAACCGCGAGGAAGGUGGGGAUGACGUCAAAUCAUCACGGGCCCUUACGUCCUGGGGCUACACACGUGCUACAAUGGCCGGGUACAGAGAGCAGCCACUCCGCGAGGGAAGAGC
rnacentral:rRNA from 1 species